UACGUAGGGGGCAAGCGUUGUCCGGAAUUAUUGGGCGUAAAGCGCGCGCAGGCGGCUUACUAAGUCUGGUGUGAAAGCCCACGGCUCAACCGUGGAGGGCCAUUGGAAACUGGUAAGCUUGAGUGCAGGAGAGGAGAGCGGAAUUCCUGGUGUAGCGGUGAAAUGCGUAGAUAUCAGGAGGAACACCCGUGGCGAAGGCGGCUCUCUGGCCUGUAACUGACGCUGAGGCGCGAAAGCGUGGGGAG
rnacentral:rRNA from 1 species